rnacentral:rRNA from 1 species
CAUGGCUCAGAUUGAACGCUGGCGGCAGGCCUAACACAUGCAAGUCGAGCGGUAACAGAGAGUAGCUUGCUACUUUGCUGACGAGCGGCGGACGGGUGAGUAAUGCUUGGGAAUAUGCCUUUUGGUGGGGGACAACAGUUGGAAACGACUGCUAAUACCGCAUGAUGUCUACGGACCAAAGUGGGGGACCUUCGGGCCUCACGCCAAAAGAUUAGCCCAAGUGGGAUUAGCUAGUUGGUAAGGUAAUGGCUUACCAAGGCAACGAUCCCUAGCUGGUUUGAGAGGAUGAUCAGCCACACUGGGACUGAGACACGGCCCAGACUCCUACGGGAGGCAGCAGUGGGGAAUAUUGCACAAUGGGCGCAAGCCUGAUGCAGCCAUGCCGCGUGUGUGAAGAAGGCCUUCGGGUUGUAAAGCACUUUCAGUAAGGAGGAAAGGUUAAGUUUUAAUAGAGCUUAGCUGUGACGUUACUUACAGAAGAAGCACCGGCUAACUCCGUGCCAGCAGCCGCGGUAAUACGGAGGGUGCGAGCGUUAAUCGGAAUUACUGGGCGUAAAGCGUACGCAGGCGGUUUGUUAAGCGAGAUGUGAAAGCCCCGGGCUCAACCUGGGAACUGCAUUUCGAACUGGCAAAGCUAGAGUGUGAUAGAGGGUGGUAGAAUUUCAGGUGUAGCGGUGAAAUGCGUAGAGAUCUGAAGGAAUACCGAUGGCGAAGGCAGCCACCUGGGUCAACACUGA